GCAAAGGGUGUUUAGAUAGCUGCAGGUAGUUUGGUGCAGCUGAAACAGAUUUCAAUUAGGGUUCGGCUGCAGAUGGAAGCAGGGGGGCCUUGGAGUUUGCAUUUGGUUCUUUGGGAGUACGAAGCUAUUGUAAGGCCUUUGGCUGGAAGUAACAUGAUUCAGCAGUAUCCCUCAGGAAUGAGACAGGGACAAAGCUGGGGGGACUAGUGAGGAGAUGAACUAGAAUAAUGCAGAUUAAACUUGAUGAGAGUUGUAUUGAAGGAAUAUCCAGAGGAGAAGACUUUGAGAGAGAGAAUGCAGGCAGAACAAUAAGCCUAGAUGGAUACUCGGAUGUGAAGAGGGAAAGCACUUGAGCAUGACUCCCAGCUCAGUUAUGAUGUCAUUAAAUUUAUGACACUGGAAAUUUAGGGGAGAGUGGGCAGAUGGGAAAGGCAGAGAGCAGAGCAUAGUGAAGGCAGCUAAAUUCAAUUGGGGCAUGUUGAGAUUGAGUUCUCUGUGGUCAUUCAGACAGAACUGUCCACUAAGAAGAAAUGGAAUCUAUGGUUCUGCAGGUCAGAAUGGUCUGUACCAGAGAUGAAGUCAUCGGUCUACAGAUGAAUUGAGUGAAAGCAAUCACCCAGAGCCAGGCAAGGUGUCAGAGCUCCAACAUCAAAAGGUGGUUGACUGGUGGGUUGGUAAGAAGAAUUUACCACUGACCGUAUAGGACUGGAAAAGGAAAGGUUUAUUAGGUAGAAAGAACGCUGUCGAAGAGUGCAGCUGCAGCGGAGCACCUCAGCAAGAGAGGACUGAGUGCAACACAGUGGAUCCUUCCUCAGGGGUAUUUAUGGACCUUAAAGCCGGAGCUGAAGGGGUGGAGAAGGGCCUUUUCUUCUCUCUUCUAUGAAGACCACUCAUUGACGACAUCAUCGCAGAUGAUCUGUGGAAGGGAGAGAGCAGCAUGCUGGAGGGGAUGAUUUGGCAAGUCCGCUGAAGAACACAAGCCUCGACUGCUCCCCGGCGUGGAAGAAGGAAGGCGAUAAAUACUGUAACGGAGGACGAGGAAGGAGCACUGAGUUCUAUGUGGAAAGAAAGGGUCAAAAAGAGGAAAACGCCUAUUCACAUGCAUGGCGUUUAACAGAUUUAUUAGGUUGUUUGCUGUGUGAUGUAAAUCUCCUCCUCUCUCUCCUUGAAAUUUCUUGAGUGAAUUCUACAUUGUUCAUUCAUUCAUGUUUAUGUGCCAGCAAGCUUUGGGAGCACUGUAAAAAUAAAAAAGGUUAGACCACUGUUAGACAUCUGGGAAACAUCUAUGUUAGAGAAGGACUAUAUAUUAAUUUAUCUCAUUUAUGGGAGGCAAAUACUAUGAUUAUUGAAGGUACAUCUCUUUCUUUAUGGAUGGAGUACAUCUUAUUUUUCUAAAAUUUGUAUUUGAACCUAUUUAUUUCUAAUUGUCAAAAAUGUGAAGUGAGAAACUUAAAAACUUUUUAGUUUCUCUUGUCCCACCAUUUUAUGUACUUCCAGGUUGUCAAAUAAUUUGGAAUUUUAGACUUAGAUAAUUCUCUAAUGUAUAUUAUAGAUCUUCUAUUUCAAUAAUUAGCUUAUAUUUUAAUUAAAUUGUAUAACUGCAUUAAAAUAUACUUAACUAUGUUUUUCUAGUUUUAUUAUUUGGUUUUUCAUUUAGGAAAUAUUUAUGUUUGUGUGUAUAUAUAGUUGCCCUUCUAGAAUUCUUUAGUUUGAUUGCAUCUCUAUAGACUAGAUAAUGGUAUCUGUCUUACUUAUUUAUUUAUUUUUAAGACAGUCUCAUUCUGUCACCCAGGCUGGAGUGCAGUGGCGCAAUCUCAGCUCACUAUGACCUCCACUUCCUGGGUUCAAGUGAUUCUCCUGCCUCAGCCUCUUGAGUAGCUGGGACUACAGGCAUGCACCAGCAUGCCCAGCUAAUUUUUGCAUUUUUAGUAGAGAUGGGUUUUCACCAUGUUGGUUGGCCAGGCUUGUCUGGAACUCCUGACCUCAGGGGAUCCUUCUGCCUCGGCCUCCCAAAGUGCUGGAAUUACAGGUGUGAGCCACCACGCCUGGCCAGUAUAUGUCUUUGGGUAAAAUUUUUUCAGAAAGAGUGAAUAAACCAUGAUAACUGAUCUUUACUUAGCACUUCCCAUGUGCCAGUCAUUAUUCUUUAUCUGUAUUAACUCAUUUAAUCUAGACAACAACCCCAUGAGUAAGUUACCACUACCCAGUAGUGGCUCUUGGGAUGGGUGGAAGGAAGGAUGACGAGGUAUAUGGAGAUCAAUCAGGAAGCGAUUACAAGAAACCUGGUGAGGGACAAGGGAGGCCUCAGUGAGAAAGAGACAGAUGUGAGAAAUGUCUGACAUCACCCAGAGAGUGAGCACAGGAUCCAAUAGGUAGUUUUUCAGCCCUUGCCCCUCCCUUCCCCUCUCACCCCUCUAGUUAGGAGUCACCAGUUCCUAUUGUUGCCAUCUUUUUGUCCACAAUUACCCAAUGUCUGGCUCCCACUUAUAAGUGAGAACUAACCCUUAACAUCCUCCACUUAUUGCAGUUAGAAAUCUCAUUGUGACGUCCACAAAGCAAGUGAAUAUUUGAAUAUUGGCUCAAUCAUUAACUAAUUUUGUGACCUUAGAAAAGUUACUUAGCCUUUCUGAGCCUCAUAAUCUUCAUCUGCAAAUGGAAAAAUAAUAAUUCCUGCCUCUCGUUGUUACUAUGAACACUGUAAUAUUGAAUAUAAUUAAAUACUCUUCCUCAUCCUUCUUAUAAUUGCUUGUGUUUGGGUAAGCUUGUCUACUAGACACAAGUUCCUCGAAGGCAGAAGUACUCUUCAGUGAAUCUUUACAAUACUCCAAGCACAUAAUACUCAA
rnacentral:lncRNA from 10 species